rnacentral:misc_RNA from 1 species
CUCUAGCGUACAACAACAAAACAAAAUGGAGGUCUUUGAUGUGUGUGUCGCGUUGUCUUAAAAUUUGCUGCUAGAAUUUUGCGUUAAACGCUGUGAGCGAAUGUGUUUCACUGCGAAUAUGUCAAAGGUCGGCCAUGAAGUGCGCGAAACACGAAACACGAAUGACUUUUACCCUAUAAAAGCAACAACAAGACGUUAAAUUGCACACCAGUUGUAAUUAAGUUUAGUAGUUAGAACCCACAACCAACUAAUAUAUAAUCAUACUCGAUAAGGCGUGAGACCAGACUCACGGGGUAUAAGGUGGGCAUUGGGGAACGAACAUCCGCACCCCUGAGAAGUGAAACUUCUCCGCACUUGUCUGGCUCUCAGUCAUCGACUACCUACCUAUAGGCAUUCGACAUUUUGACAACGGCCACGCGCAGAAAGCAGCAUCAAAAUUAAGCCAAUUGACGACCAAAUCUGCAACGCAGCGGCGUCGUCGCGUCCUUCGACGCGUAACGGACAUUUCUGUGUGCGCUGCGUUUAAAAAAUCUGAUGGAUGGAAAUGCACAAAAUAUGUUUCACGGAAAUCAUCAAGGAGAUCCCUAUUACCGUUACGAUGCGGCAGCCGCCGCAGCAGCCGCAGCCGCGGCGAACCCGCGUGCAAUGGGACCGCCUGGCGGCUAUCCGCCGCGCCACCGCCCCCCACAUCCGUUACAGCAGCAGCCCCAAUACCCAUCGUACCAGCCAACGGCGGAGAAUCUCUACGGGCUGGGGGCCGCCGAUCACCAGGCGGCCAUGGGGCUCGGCGUUGGAGUGGGAGUUGGUGCCGGAAUGGGCGAUCUAAGCGGUUGGGGAGCGGCGCCUUCGGUUCCUGGCCAGGCAGCGGCUUAUCCCGGAGCCGGACUGGGCGCCUAUGGUCAUCCGCAAGCGGCUCCACCAGCGCAGCAACAGCGUCAGAGCAACGCCAGCGCAUACCGUCAACAUAUGCCCGCCUAUGGACAACAGGAGCAGCAGAAACUGGCUUCAUACGGCGCGCAACAGAGCAUGAUGGCGGGAUACGGUUCGCUGGCGCCCCAGCAGCAACAGCAGCAGCAACCGCCCACACCACAGCAGCAGCAGCAAGCACAGCAGGUGCAACAGCAGGCGCAGCAACAGCAACAACAGCAGCAGCAGCAGAGUCAGCAGCAGGCUCGACUGCCGCAGCAUUAUCCGCAAACUCCUGGUCAGCAUCCGUUGUAUCCUGGAGUGGGAGCACCCACCGUCCAGGCGGGACAACCUCCCACGCCCCAGGCAUAUACUCAUAGUCCGUACGGAAGUCCCAUGCAACACCAACCGAGCAGAGGAGCUCCCCAGCAUGUGGGCUACGGGCAUACAGGACUGGAUCAGGCUUCUGCUUACGGACAGCAUGUGCCGGGAGGAGCGCCACCGGGUCACCAUUUGACGGCGCAGCAGCAGCAGGCUGCGCAGCAAUUGGGUGCCCACCAGCAGCAACAGCUGCAAUCGCAGCAGCAACAGCAGCAGCAACCUCACGUUUCGCUAAUGCAGCAGCAGCAGUUGCCGGGUGCUGGAUUGCCGCCACCGCACAUGGGAAUGCCUCCUAGUUACGGAAGCCACCAUCAACAGCAACAGCAGCAACAACAGACCCAGCAGCAACAGCAGCAGGCAGCGCCGCCUUACAUGUCCAGCAGCAAGCAUCAACAGGCGGCUGCCCAGCUGAAUUCCUCGCCCCAGUAUCGUGCACCUUUCCCUCAGCUUUCGCCACAAAUGUCGCCACGUCCUCCGACAAUGUCGCCACAUCCGCAAAUGUCUCCGCGACCAGUUGGCGUGUCGCCGGCGAAACCACCGCCCCCUCAACAGCAGCAGCAACAAACGCAAGCGCAGCAGCCGCAACAGGUUGUAAGCAAUCAGCCCAGCCAGCACAGCAUUCAAGGCAUGGUAGGCUUGCCUUCGCCGCGCCCACAGCCGCCCACAAGUGGAGCAGGUGGAGCGGGAGCGAAGGGUCCUGCGCCAGUUGCUGCCCCCGUAAACACAUUACAGGCCCUCGAACAAAUGGUGAUGCCGUCACAGGCUCUCGGGCUACCACCCAUGGACUACCCAUCGGCAUACAGGAGUGCUGUGGGUCCUAGGAUGCCAGCUUCCCCUCAGCAGCAACAGCAACAGCAACAACAUCAGCAAUGGGGUGCGGCCCAUGGAGCACAGCACUUGGCGGCCCUGCAGCAGCAGCAGGCCCAACAGCAACAACAACAGCAGGUACAACAGCAGCAACAAGCACCUCCGCAGCAGCAGCAGGCGGCAAUGUUGCAGGCGCAGCAGCAACAUCACCAGCAGCAGUUAAGUAUGUAUGGUCAGACGAUGGGACAGCAACAGCAGACACAAACCGCGCAGCAACAAGUUGUGCCACCGGUGACUUCACAACCGCCAGUGGUGGCCGCCUCUCAGCAGCAGCAACAACACCAGCAGCAGUCACUCAAUGAUCAAUUGCAGCAUUCGAUCAACGAUAUUGUUGGGGGUGGGAACAGUAGUGGAGCAACAGGAGGUGCUCAGAAUCAGCACCAGCAGCAACCCCAACUGGCGGCCAUGUCUUCGCCGUUGCAUCAGCAAAACCUGCCCAACAUGCACCAUUUAAUCCAACCUACCAUGGAGCCAACACAGCCGACGCAGCAGCAACAGCAAACGACACAACAACAGCAGCAGCAACCACAGCAACAGCAACCGCAGGCGACUUUAACAUCGCCGCACCACCAGCAAAUGCAGCAUCAGUCCCCCAUACACCAGCAGCAACAGCAACAGUCACCGCAUCACCAGCCACAUCUACCUAGCUACAAUCAGUCGCAGCAGCAAUUCGAUCCCUUUGCUAACAUACUAGGAGACAAUCAACCACCUGCAUCCCAACAGACAAUGUCGCCCGCUCAUGUAAGUUCGCCGGUACCCGCGCAAAUGCAACAGCAGCAGCAACAUCAGACCCAACAGCAGCCAUCCCAACAAGUACCACAAAGCCAGCAACAACAGGUGUCGCAGCCACAACAGCAAACGCAGCAGCAACAACCCUCGACCCCAUCACAUCACCUGAGCAGCAUCCUCAAUGAAACAGCAAACUCGAAUGAUUCCUCCACUUUGGCAGUGGCUGCCAAUGACAGCAACAACAGCAGUAGCAAUAGUAGCACCAAUAGCAUUGUCAACAACCAGCCCACAUCGGUGCACGACAGCAAUUCGCAGAGCAGCAUUAACAGCAGCAGCAACAACCAGCAACAGUUGCUCAUGGACAACACGAAUUCACACGGAGGAAAUUCGGAAUCGGCCCAGAAUGUUGGAGUGGAUGUUGGUCUUUUUGAUAACAACUCGAUGUCCUCAACGUCAGCAGCAGUUGCUGCCGUGGCCUCCAAUGCAGCUUCUGCAGCAGCAGCACUUUUGGACAGCAAUUCUCAGUCGUCGAAUGCGGAGUUUGAGAAGAAUCAAAGCGAAGGUGAAGGACUCGGCGUUGUAGAAGGAGUUAUUGCCAAUGAAACUGAGAUUCCACAGGAUGAGAACAGCGUUUCCAAAACUCAAGACAUAACUCUAAGCACGGAAUUGCCAGCAAUCCAAGACGAUCUACAAGAUAAGCCCACCGCUGAGAUAGAACAAACUCAACUGGGACAAUCUUUAGGUGAUUUGACUACAUCUUUGUUGGAGGAACCUAAAUUGGUGGAAGAAUCCGGUGAGGAUAAAUCUCAAUCGGCAACUGGAGUUGCACCUCCAGCAGAUCCUGCUACCCCUGUUACACAACCGUCUCAGCAACAGAUGCCUCCCAUUGGGAUGCCCAUGCAUCCUAUCGCCCCCGGGUAUGAAGGCCAGACUCAGGGACAAGGUCACAUGCCGCCCAUGAUGCCUCCGUAUGGAGGAGCGCCAGGGAUGUAUCCACCUUAUCCCAUGCUGCAUCAACAAGAAAUUGCUGCACUGCAGCAGCAGAUACAGGAACUGUAUUGCAUGCCUCCCGGGCACGAGCAUCAACACCAAGAUAAGUUAAUGCGAAUGCAGGAGCGAUUAAAUCUUCUCACGCAGCACGAGAUAAACGAUCAGUGUGCUGGCGGUCCGCAGUGCUUACUGUUCCAAAACGUUCCGCCCAUGUAUGGACCACCAGGGAAUCCUCUGCUCAACCAGCAAAUGGUAGAGAGCCCUCAAGUAUCCAGCACCACUGGAAGAGGACGAGGCAAGGGAGCCAACAAGCCACGCAAGCCUCGCGCCAAGAAGGGUGAAAAAGGUCAGGUGGGUCAGCAGCAAGACCUGAUGGAUACCAGCGGGAAUGUGGCAAUGGGAGCAGCAAACGCCGUUUCCAGUAUCCCAACGACACAAUUACCCGUAUCUGAGGAUUGCGUGACUCAAGGAGCGGGAGAUACCAGUGUGGUCGGUAUGCUGGAGUAUAGUGAAGGGAUGGGUGAUCUUUCUCAAGAUGUGCACUCAGCCAAUGAACUCGAUACCUCGACUGAUGGCAGUGGUAAGAAGAAGAAGCCCCGCAAGCCUAGAACACCUAAGGAUCCAAAUAAACCUCCACGAGAUAGGACGCCGAAAGCAAAAAAGCCCAAGGAUCCUAAUGAUUCAAACUCUACUGAGACACCAGUAGCGGGUAAAAAGCGAGCUAGUGUUAGCAAACGCAGGAAACAGUACGGAGACGAUGGAGCUGAGCAAACGGGAGAGGGUAGCGAAGUGGAAGACAACAAGCCAUUGGUGCCAAAAGCAGGAUCCGCUGAUGGUGAAGCAGAAACAACUUCGGGAGGAACUGGAGUGGAUGGAGAAUCUCCAGACUACGAUGACAUUCCCGUCUCUAAAAUUCCGCGUGCCGCCAAUGAAGAUGAAAAGGAAGCCGAGGCCGGCGAUGAAACAGUAGACUCUGUUCCAGACUCGGCUGGUGAUCCUGCAUCUACACCGAGCAGAAGAGAUCGCAAACGAUCCACUGCAAGGAGUCGACGCAAUGCAAACUCUGAGGAGGGAGGCAGUGCUCGCAAGAACCGUGGUUCUCUCUCCGCCAAGGCACUUAAGAAGCGAAGGAAUAGGGGUCGCAUUGUACCUGAAUCCGAUGGCGAAGAUGACACCCUGGACAGAACUCCGCCUCCAUCGCCGCCACCAGACUCUGAAUUGGAUUCCAACAAGCGAAGAUCUUCAAGAAACACUCAGAGAAAGAAAUACAUCGAUGAUGUUAUGCUAAGGUUCUCCGAUGACGAAAACUCUCUGUUAGUGGCAUCUCCUGUAAAGAAGGAUAAGAAGCCAACUGCUAAUGCAAGCAAUUCCAAUGCAGGAAGUGAUGUGGAAAAAACGGAACCUCAAUCUGGUGCCGAGGGAGACGCUGGCCAGGAGGCAGGUGAAGAGAAAUCUAAUCUACCGCUGGAUGAAAGCAGUCAAUUGGAAGCCAGUUCGAGUACUUCUGCAGCAGCGGAGAAGGAGCGACAGACCUCUACAGAUGCUGCAAGUGCAUCCAUGUCUUCCAAACCCAAUUACGUGUACAUAAACACAGGCGAUGAAGACAGCAUGGUGGUUCAAUUAGUUUUGGCCAUGCGAAUGGGAAAGCGGGAACUUAUUCCGGACAAACCCAAAGAAAAAGCACCCGAACCUAAAAAAGAUGAAGAGAAAUCUGAUGAAGCAACACCUGAUAAACUUGAGGGAGAUGAAAAACCCAAGGCUGAGGAUGAACCCAAGAAAGAUUCAAUAGGCACCGAGGGAAAGCAAUCAGAAUCCUCCGAAAUGGAAGUGGACAGUAAGGAAGCAGAGCCUGAUGCUUCUAAGAAAUCUGAUGAAGACUAUAAGAACGAGGACAAAAUGGAAGUAGAUGAUGAAGCUGAAAAAUCAGAUAAAGAAAGUAAACCAGAAGAACAAUCAGAAACAGUGAAACCUGAGGAAAAAUCUGAAGCCACUGAGGAAGACAAAUCCUCCACUGUUUCAACAGGUGACCAAGACAAGGAAGCUGAGACUGUCCAGGAGAAAAUGGAUGUUGAUGAAAAGGAAGAUGAUGAAAAGUUACCUCCAUCGAAAGCAGAGGAAUCUGACGAGAAAUCCAUUGAUGACACCAAACCCGAAGAGGGUACUACAGAAAAGGAUAAGGAAAGUUUAGAAAGUGAAGGCGAAAAGGAGAGCGUCAAGGAGGGAGAAGAAUCCGUUACGGAGAAGGAAGAGAAAUCAGAAGCUGAUACGGAAAAUAAACCAGAGCCCGUCUUUAUCGAUGUGGAGGAGUACUUUGUGAAAUAUCGCAAUUUCAGUUACUUACAUUGCGAGUGGAGAACGGAAGAGGAACUACUAAAGGGUGAUCGUCGCGUAGCUGCCAAGAUUCGUCGCUUUCAGCAAAAGCAGUCUCAGCAGUUAAAUAUAUUUGAGAAUAUCGAAGACGAGCCCUUCAACCAGGACUUUACUGAAGUGGAUAGAGUGUUGGACAUGUCAGUUCAUACAGACGAAACCAGUGGAGAGACUACGAAGCACUACCUGGUCAAGUGGAAGUCACUUCCCUAUGAGGAUUGCACUUGGGAGCUUGAAGAAGAUGUAGAUAACGACAAAAUAGAGCAGUACCUGCGCUUUAACAAAAUCCCUCAAAGGAGCGAGUGGAAGUCUAAGAAACGUCCGCAUCCAGAAUUGUGGAAAAAGCUGGAGAAGACCCCCGUCUAUAAGGGAGGAAAUAGCCUGAGACCCUAUCAACUUGAGGGUCUUAACUGGUUAAAGUUUUCUUGGUACAACACCCACAACUGCAUCCUCGCUGACGAAAUGGGUCUUGGAAAAACUAUUCAAAGUUUGACAUUUGUGCACUCUGUAUAUGAGUACGGAAUCAGAGGACCUUUCUUGGUAAUAGCUCCUCUUUCUACAAUUCCAAACUGGCAACGAGAGUUCGAGGGCUGGACCGAUAUGAAUGUGGUUGUUUAUCACGGCUCGGUGACAAGCAAACAAAUGAUACAGGACUAUGAAUAUUACUAUAAGACAGAAAGUGGAAAGGUAUUGAAGGAACCCAUUAAGUUUAACGUUUUGAUUACCACUUUUGAGAUGAUUGUGACGGACUACAUGGACUUAAAAGCGUUUAACUGGCGCCUUUGUGUGAUUGAUGAAGCACAUCGUCUUAAGAAUAGAAAUUGCAAGCUCCUUGAAGGUCUGCGGCAGCUGAAUUUGGAACACCGAGUAUUGCUCUCGGGAACUCCCCUACAAAACAACAUCAGCGAGCUGUUCUCGCUGUUAAACUUCCUGGAACCCUCGCAGUUCUCCUCACAGGAAGAGUUCAUGUCUGAGUUUGGAAGUCUGCGCACUGAAGAAGAGGUCAAUAAACUGCAAGCUUUACUAAAACCAAUGAUGCUACGUCGUCUAAAAGACGAUGUGGAGAAAAGUUUGGCGCCCAAGGAAGAAACCAUUAUCGAAGUGGAGCUAACUAACAUACAAAAGAAAUACUAUCGAGGUAUUCUGGAACAAAACUUUAGUUUCCUGAAAAAGGGGACCACUUCUGCUAAUAUCCCAAACCUUAUGAACACCAUGAUGGAGUUGAGGAAGUGCUGCAUACACCCUUAUCUCUUGAAUGGAGCGGAGGAACAAAUCCAAUAUGAUUUCAAGUCACAGCAUGGCGAAGAUCCUGAGUCCUAUUAUAAAAAUCUGAUUCUCUCAGCUGGUAAAAUGGUUUUGAUUGAUAAAUUGCUACCCAAACUGAAAGCAAACGGCCAUCGCGUUCUUAUAUUCAGUCAGAUGGUACGUUGUUUGGAUAUCCUUGAAGAUUAUCUGGUGUACAGAAAGUACCCCUUUGAGCGAAUCGAUGGGCGCAUUCGCGGUAAUCUCCGCCAGGAGGCCAUCGAUCGUUACUCCAAGCCAGGCUCCGAUCGUUUUGUAUUUCUUCUCUGCACCAAAGCUGGAGGAUUGGGCAUUAAUUUAACAGCUGCCGAUACUGUCAUAAUUUACGAUUCAGAUUGGAAUCCACAAAACGAUUUGCAGGCUCAGGCCCGAUGCCAUCGUAUUGGCCAAAGAAAGAUGGUAAAGAUUUACCGAUUGCUCUGCAGGAAUACCUAUGAGCGUGAAAUGUUCGACAAGGCCUCAAUGAAACUAGGAUUGGACAAGGCUGUAUUGCAGUCGAUGAACACCCAAGGAUCUAAGGAUGGCAAUAACAAGCAGCUGUCCAAAAAGGAAAUCGAAGAUCUCUUAAAAAAGGGUGCUUACGGGGCCGUCAUGGAUGACGACAAUGCUGGUGACAAGUUUUGCGAAGAGGACAUCGAUUCAAUCCUCAAGCGACGCACUCAAGUCAUCACAAUGGAAUCGGAGAAGGGUUCGACCUUCUCGAAGGCUUCAUUUGCUGCCUCCGGUAACCGGUCGGAUAUUACCAUAGAUGAUCCUGACUUUUGGACCAAGUGGGCCAAAAAGGUUGACAUUGAUCCCGAUGCUUGCGAACGAGAUGAAACGGAGGAUUUGGUUUUGUCCGAGCCCAGAAGACGCACCCAAAUCAAACGCUACGGCCACGAGGAUGUGAUGGAAAUCAAUUCCGAGGAAUCUUCCAAUGAGAAUAGCGACGAAGAGGGAGGAAUAGGUCUCCGUUCCCGUCGCCGCAAGGAGAAACGAGAUCGUGCUCGCGAAAAGAAGGGCAACGAUGAAUACAUUCCACGAGAACGGGAUGCCUUGGCUGCUUUGGGCUUGGAGGAAAUUCAAUACGGUAACUGGGCCAAGUCCGAGUGCUUCAAAGUGGAGAAGGGACUGCUUUCCUUUGGCUGGGGCCGGUGGUCGGAACUUUUGGAGCUAGGCCAAUUCAAACGAGGUUGGCGUGAUGUAGACGUCGAGGAUUGUGCUCGCAUCAUUCUCCUUUACUGCCUGCAGGUCUACAAGGGAGACGAGAAGAUCAAGACGUUCAUCUGGGACUUGAUAACACCAACGGAGGACGGAGAGGUGCAGAAGAUUAGCAGGGAUCAUAGUGGCCUACACAACUUGGUGCCACGAGGCCGCAACGGUGGAAAGUCAAACAAGGAAUCCACGGGAAUGUCUACUCCCGCUCCGGGCUCCGCAUCCGGAAGCAAUAGUGGAAACACGACUCCGGCUCACAAGUCCAGUGCACUGGAUGGGUCCGAUAAGGAUGGCGGCGGCAUAAAUGCCAGCGCCGUGGCCGCGGCGGUCACCAGCAUUCACGAUCCAAAUCACUGGAGCAAGAAGGAAAAGUACGAUGCUGAUGCGUACUUGGAAGGCGCCUACAAAAAGCAUUUGGGCAGACACGCCAAUAAAGUUUUGCUGCGCGUGCGGAUGCUCUAUUAUAUUCAACAUGAAGUCAUAGGCGACUUCGUUCAGCAGAUAAAGGACAACACGCCUAUCAGAAACGAGGACGAUGCAAAUUCGAAGCACGAUGAUGGCGACGAGGUGGACGACGACGGCACUACUACGACCAAAGACUCUGACUCUACCAAACUCACCGGGGGCGAUAACAAGGACUCGCUUCUCGACCCGGAGCGCCCCAGUUCGUCUGGCUUGGACGAGGAGGAGAGCGUCGCCGGCAGCUAUCCGCCAACCGUGGCAGCCGUCGAGGACGCCACUACUAUGUGGCCAUCUAUGCAGGACCUCAACACGCGUCUCCGCCGUGUGAUCACCGCCUAUCAAAGGAAUUACAAGAAGGAGGAACUCAAACUGCAACAGAAGGCCAAGCUCCAGGCAUUGGUUUCAUCGACACCCCCACUGUCGGUGCCCACAACUCCCACCCUUCAGUCUAUGCAAAUGCAACUGCAGAGCGGCUCCGGCGGCAGUGGCUCCGGACUAGGAUCCUCUGGUCAGCACGAUGCCAGUGGCCGGAAUCUUCAGGCGUUGAUGCAAUCGCAGGGGGCCAGCACAUCCGCAGCAGCGGCCGCCGCCGCCUCAGGUGCUGGAGGAUCCUGUAGUGGAUCCGGCCAGGUGGGCAUGGGCGGAGCGGGAGUCAUGCCAGCUAUGCCAACCGCCGCCGACAUAAGCCUGAUGCUUAGCAUACUCAACACCACAGAUGUCAACCAGCUGGCCAACUUGGACAUCAAUAAAUUGGCCAUGUACCUGGUCAGCAUGAACAAAUAAAAUGGAGCGGCAGGGAAAGAUGGAACUCGCGGCGAAGGAGCGCGAGUCCCAACGUCUUCAGCUCAUCCCAAAGAAAUGGAACCGCCGCGAAGAAUACGAAUUUCUUAGAGUUCUCACUGGUUAUGGUGUCGACCUGCACCUCUCCACACCAAUGGGUUCCUCUAAUGGAAGUUCCCAUUCGCCCGACUGGACCAAGUUCAAGCAGAUGGCUCACCUAGAGAGAAAGAGUGAUGAAACACUGACCGACUACUAUAAGGUAUUUGUGGCAAUGUGCAAACGACAGGCGGGCUUGAAGCUCCUUGAAUCGGAGCGCGGACUAGAAGGCAUUAUCGAAGAAAUCGAGAAGGAGCACGCCAAGCUUAUACUGGAUCGCCUGGAAGUACUUGCCAAGUUGCGAGAAGUGGCUCGUAAUCCCAUGCUCGAGGAGCGCCUAAAACUCUGCACCAAGAAUGCGGAUACCCCCGAUUGGUGGGAGCCUGGUCGACACGACAAGGAAUUGAUCACCGCCGUCCUCAAGCACGGACUUUAUCGCUCCGAAACCUUUAUCUUCAAUGAUCCAAACUUCAGUUUUGGAGAGUCUGAGAAGCGUUUCAUUCGGGAACUAGAAGCUCAGAUUCAGCGUACUAUCAAACUGGAGGCUUUUAAUGCUGAAAAGGCCGAAAAGUUAGCGGCAGCUGAGAAAGCUGCUGCAACGGAAAAAGCUGCUGCAACUGAAAAGGCGGGAGCAGAAAAGGCAGCUUCCGUUAAGAAUGAAGUCAUAGACCUAGAUGAUGAGCUCAUGACUAAUGACAGUGUCAUCAAGAAAGAGUCGCCAGCUUCUCCCAUAAAGGAUGAAGUAAAAGCUGAAGAGAGUCCUGAAAAGAAGGAUACUGCUGAUAUUCCCGAAGAUAAAGCUUCAGAUUCUCAUGGGAGUACGAAGGUAGAGGAUAAAGGUGAGUCGAAUGCAGAAACUACGGAAAAAGACGCACUAGACGAAACUACAAAGUUGGAUAAGGAUAAAUCUAGCCCUGAAUCAUGUGCUCCAGAAAUUGAAGAAAGCAAACCUAGCGAAGAAAAAAUGCAAGUGGAGGAAUCGCCCGUUGCCGAAAAUGGUCAGGAGAAGGAAGGUUCGCCUGAGAAAUGCAGUGAUACAGAGGAUAAGAAAUCUUCAGAAGAAAAGCCAAGUUCCCCUGGAGCCCCUGAUGUUAAAGUGUCAGAAAUGGAGACAGAUGAUGUCGCCUCUAAUACAGAAGAAAAAUGUUCUGGGGAAUUGAAACCGCCCGAAAAGGAAUCUGAAGACAAGGUUGUUGAAAAGUCUGAUGAAGAGAAGGGUGAAAAAACAAAUGAAAAGUCUGAGGAACAGAAAGAGGAAAAAGAAAAGGUGCAAAAACCACUCAUAGAAUCGGAGGCCGCUGAUAAAUCUGAAACUGUCGUUGAACCCGAAGUAGCUGUGCCCAAAAAACCCACUGCCGACCAAGACAUUCUCGACCUGGUGGCUGGUCCUUCAGAUCCCGAUGAUGACGAGGUGAUGAAGGAAAAAGAGAAAGCAGUAGAAGAGGAAUGCAAGAAGCAGGCAGCAGAGCUUAAAGCACGCUUCCCGGAUCUGGAAGUGAUUCAACCCGCCACUGUCAAGCAGCAAAAGUUGGAUAAGCCCAAGCUUGAAAUGUGCAUGAUCCGCUGGUUCAAGGAUUUCGCCUUAGAGCGCCGUAUUGCGCACAUUGUGGCUUGCGUGGAGUCAGGAAAUUGGCCUGUGGAUAGCAAAUACAGUGCCUUUGCAUCCUGCAAGGGGGCAACUGAUCUAAGCAUUGCUCUCCACGAAUCCAUUCCCCACUUGAGCAGUUUGGACCGUCGCUCCACAACACCCGAUGUCAUUACCAUAACGACGGACCAAGGUGUCACAAAGCACUUGCAGACCUCCCACAUGCAGCAGGUGGCCAGUUCGGCGUCCGCUGCAUCCGUCUCCUCGGGAGCUCCCCAGGUCACCCAAUCAAAACCCUCCUCUUCCAACAGCUUACCUGGCUUGGAUGCCAAAAGCAUCAAUGCUGCGGUGGCAGCGGCCGUUGCGGCAGCUGCAGCAGGUGGAAAUGCCACCUCCCUAUCGUCUUUGCUUCCGGGAAUGUCUCUGAGUGCAGCCAGUGGCUCUUCAGCCGGUGCAGUGAGCGGAUUGAGCGUUCCAAGUGCCGGCUCUGGAGGGGGAAAGAAGCGCAAGCGACACAUAGCCAUCGACGUAGAGACGGAAAGGGCUAAGCUUCAUGCUCUGCUUAACAGCUCGACAAUGGCACCGAAGGACUGGGAGAGUGAGAUUGCAAACAUGGAGGCCUUGAGCGGCUCCUCUGGCCGUGGUCGAGGUGGUAAUUCUUCAGCUUUAAGUGGCAUGCAGCCGCCUCCAGCUCAUCAGCAUGCUUCGCUCUCGCGACAAUCCUCGGGACAGUUCAGCAAGCCAGCUGUCCCCGCCCUGAAGACUCCUCCUCCCUCAAUGGGUGCACCAAUGGACCUUUCAUCAAGCCUACCGAAAAUGAAUAUGACUGAGAUGCUUAAGUCGGCUUCCAGUGCGGGAGCCAUCGAUUUGAGUGAGGUUCAGGACUUCUCUAUGCCUUCUAAAAAAUCCAGUGUGCAUAGUGCUUUAAGUUCCGCAUUUCCCUCGAUGGGAAGCAAGAGCAAAUUAGACGACACGCUUAACAAAUUGAUGAAGAAGAACAAUUGCACCAUUGAAGAGCCUGUUAUUGGUAAGGAGAAAAAGCGAAAGAAAUUGGACGAGAUCGUGCUCGGCCUAUCGGCGGCUAAAGAGCAAAAGACCUUCCCUGACCCAUCGCUGCCGUCAUCAAAGAAACCGCAGAUCCCGCCAAGCGUAUCAGUGACGCCAGCAAACCUUCAAUCCUCGUCCAACCAGCAGUCAAACCAGAAACCCUUUACUAUCACUGUUACCACAGUGCCCGGAAAAUCAAAGGGCGGCUCGUCCAACAGCGGAUCCGGCGCCGGAGGAAGCUCGUCGGCCAGCGGCGGAGGAGCCGGCGGCAGCGGCUUGAGCGCCCUGCAGAAUAUGGCAAUGGGAGGUCUGUCAUCCAAAGACAGUCUCAAUGCCCUGUUGGCACAGACAAUGGCCACCGACCCUCAGACGUUUCUUAAGCAGCAGCAGAAGAUGAUGCAGUUCCUGCCCCCCGCUCAACGGAAAGCUUAUGAAAACAUGCUAGCGGAGAUGGAACAGGCCAUGAAGAUCAGUUCAAAGUUUUCGACAAACUCACCACACGACGUCAAGGUCAACAAGUGGCUUUCAGACAUGGCAACUCCACUGGGCGACCAGCUCAGCAUUGAUUACGUGGGAGGUGGCGGGGCAGGUGCCUCCGGAAGUGGCAAUAGUCGGCGCUCGAACCGCCAGCAAGGAAACUCACAACAAUCCUCAAGUGCAGCCCAACUGCAAAAGCAACAGCAACAACAACAACAGCAGCAGCAACAACAGCAACAUUCGAUGCCCGGCCCUCAGAAUUUGACAGGAGAGGAGCCCGUACCAGUGAUCAAUAAGCAGACUGGCAAACGCUUGGGAGGCAACAAAGCGCCGCAGCUGAAGAGACUGAUGCAAUGGCUUACGGAGAACCCCAAUUACGAAGUGGAUCCAAAGUGGCUGGAGCAGAUGCAAAAUCCCAUGUCUGCACCUUCUCCAAAGCCGUCAUCAAUGGAGAGCAGCUACGGCUCUUCGGCAGUGAAAUCGCAUGGAGGUCGCCCGUCAUCUAAUUCGAGUAACACCUCAUCAUCGUCCCAUACCCAGCAACAUCAGCAAACGUCUGCAGCUCAAUCGCCAGCGGGAGGGAACUCAGGCAGCUCCAAGAAAACAUCCCGCCAAACAGCGGCAUCACAACUGGAUCAAGCUGCGUUACAAUUUAACUCCUUAGCCGGUCUAAAUCCCAGUCUUUUGGCUAAUCUUCCUGGACUGGGCGCAUUUGACCCCAAGAAUCCUCUGGCUGCAUUUGAUCCAAAGAAUCCGUUGCUAUCCAUGUCAUUUGGAGGAAUGCCCGGAAUGGGAAAUAUUCCUGGAUUAGGUAACCUGAACAACAUGAACCUUUUCGCCAGUUUGGCUGGAAUGGGAGGAUUGGGUAAUCUGGCGGGUAUGGAUACUCAGUCGCUGGCUGCGCUCAUGGCUGCUGCCGGGCCAACUCUUGGCGGAUUAGGUGGUGCAUCCGGAGGAGCGGGCUCCGGCAAGAGCCAGGCGCAGUCGCAAUCAUCCGCCACUUCGUCCUCCUCUUCGGCUAGUAAAAAGAAGCAGCAGCAACAGCAACAACAGGCGCAAAACGAAGCUGCUCAAUUGGCAGCUGCUAUCAGCGCUAGCACUGGAGGCUCUGGCGCAUCAGGUGGAAAGAACGCAGCGGCUUCUGCAUCACAAUUGGCGGCAGGAUUUCCAUUCCUAUUUCCGAAUCCGUCACUGCUGUAUCCACCCAUGGGACUAGGUGGUCUGAAUCCGUAUUCCCUAGGAUCCAGUGGACUUGGUUCUGCAUACGAUCAAUUGGCUCAGCAGUAUAACCUGCUAAAUGGGGCCACUUCAUCCGCCUCAAAUACGAGCUCUACGCAGUCUAAGUCGCAUCAGUCACAAUCGAAAUCCAGUCAGUCCAGGAAUACCGCAGCAUCUGCCAACUCAGCAGCGAGUCUGAUGAAUGCAAUGGCCAGCAUGGGUGGUGGAGCUAGUACAGUAACCACGCCUUCUACUUCAACAUCAGGAUCCGGACGUGGCAGGCAAUCGAGCAGCAGAAAUCAAUCCCAAACCACACCCACAGCAGCAGACAUGGCCCAACUCAGUAGUCUACUUAUGCCAGGAGCGGAUCCACAUCUCCUCGAGUCGCUGAGCCGUAUGAGCAACAUGGAUUUGGCACAGGCAACGCGACUGAUGAGCUCCCUCGGAAUGCCGCCUCUUCCAGGAACCCCGAGCUCUUCUGGUGGGGGUAACACAUCUUCAAGCAAGAGAAGCAGCCAAGCCGCAAGUGAAGCCAACGCUCAGGCUAAGGAACAGCAGAAAUGGUUUGAAAGUCUAGCCCGCGGAGCUCUGCCAACUGACUUAGCCGCGCUCCAAGCUUUCUCGCAAGGCAAAAUGCCGUCAACAUCCGGAUCAAAUACGGGCACAUCCACUUCCUCCAGUAAGAGCUCGAAAGCAGCUGCGGCUGCGGCUGCUGCGGCAGCUCAAUUGCCACAAAUUCCUAGUGACUUCUCUCAGGCCUUUUUGGCUGAAAUGGCUGCACAGGCAAUGGCGGCUGCUGGCGGAUCCCUACCUCUGAGUGGUCCUGGAUCAUUAGCUAGUUUGGCUGGCUUAACUGGUGGCUCGGCUGGAGGCGGUGGUGGUUCUUCUGCCUCAGGAAGCACUAGCCACUCUUCAUCAAAACGACAGCGUGAGCAGGAUGCCUUUAAGCAACAGAUGGACUAUUAUACCAAGACCUUAGGUCUGGGAUCAGGAAUCUCGCUGAUACCUACUUCCUCAUCGGGAGGAUCAUCUGCAUCCUCAAGUUCGGCAAACGCAGCAGCGGCUGCCUAUGCUGCAGCAUUAGACGCGGAGCAACAGCAUCAACAACAGCAAAAGGCUCUUUCCAAACGAUCACGUGGCGAUAUACACCCCACAAAGGAGGAACUGGCUGCUGCUGCCCUUACUGCAGGGUUACCCCUUAAUCUUGGAGCCAGCAUGAGUAGCAUAGAAAAGAGUCUAAGAGGCGGAAGCAGCUCCAGUAGCAGUUCGACGCCAGCACCUAUGUCUGCGGAACAGGAUAAAGUAACGUUGACUCCCCUUAAUGCCUCUGGAGGUGGGUCAGGCUCUUCUUCCAGUUCAGCAGCUGCUGCGGGACUGGCAGCUAAUCUGCCCAGUCAAACUACAAUAACCAUAGCUCCUCCCAUUAGCAGUGGAGCCAGCACUAGCAGCGAGCGUUCUGAGCGCUCCGAGUCGCGCAUUUCGCUAACCAUAACAAAUGCAGCGGAUGCAGCGAAACUACCACCGCCCUACGAAGAAGCCGAUGAGCUAAUUAUACAACCCAUACUCAAAAAGCCUUCGGCUGCCAAUCCAGGCAGUAGUCAUGGCGGCAGCGUAGACGAUCUGGAUACAGCGGACAAUGCUUCAGCUGCUAAUCUGAGUGGUUCAUCGUCCAGUUCUGCGGCAGCUGCAGCGGCGGCUGCAGCCGCGGCUGAAGAGAAUCGACGAUCCUCCAACCGAUUGAAGCGUCCGAGGUCUGGCAACGAACAAGGAUCUGGUUCCGUGGAAGGACAACCGCCUGAGAAGCGACGGGAGUUGCGAUCCACUCGUCAUACACGCUCUUCGGCAGAUGCCAGUACGCUUAAUCUUUCCACUGGCAGCGAAUCGGGAGCGGAGGAACGGAACGAAUGAGUAUUGCGCAGAUCCGAGCGCCAGCGCUAGCAGAAUGACACGGCCCAUCCUAAGGGCCGGAGAAAAUCACGUAGAGGAGGAGCCAACACGGCCCAUACAUACAAGUCACCGGAGCAGAAAAUCAACGACAGAAAGAUGAUGAGAAACCAGCUGCAGAUGCGGAUGCAAACAAGAUCGAGGCGAAAAUUAAAUGCUAAGUUAACUGUUACCACUAGAUCCCUUAAGCUUAAAGUUGUGUAAAGUAUAAGAACCUUAUAUAAUCUAUAUAUAGAGAUUAGGAGCCAAUUUAGAGAGAAUGGAUUUGGGUUUGUCUCAACGCUAUACAGUUCGACACUGCUGCAACUCCGUCUGAACUGGAGGGCAGAGGACCGUACCCAUGGCUUACUCAAGUUUCAUUUGCUGCUUAUAUGGUCCUUGUUAAGUCAAUAUUUUCCCUUUCUUUGGCUGCUUAAUUAUUCAUAUAAUUACGAACAUAAUUAAAAAGCGCUUAUAAUUUAA